UACGAAGGGUGCUAGCGUUGUUCGGAAUUACUGGGCGUAAAGGGUGCGUAGGUUGUUUGGCAAGUUAGUGGUGAAAGCCCAGAGCUUAACUCUGGAAUUGCCAUUAAAACUGCCAGGCUAGAGAGUGUUAGUGGUGAGUGGAAUUUCUAGUGUAGGAGUGAAAUCCGUAGAUAUUAGAAGGAACAUCAAUGGCGAAGGCAGCUCACUGGGUCACAUCUGACACUGAGGCACGAAAGCGUGGGUAGCAAACAGG
rnacentral:rRNA from 1 species